rnacentral:rRNA from 1 species
CCUACGGGUGGCAGCAGUGAGGAAUAUUGGUCAAUGGACGAGAGUCUGAACCAGCCAAGUAGCGUGAAGGAUGACUGCCCUAUGGGUUGUAAACUUCUUUUAUAUGGGAAUAAAAUGUUCCACGUGUGGGAUUUUGUAUGUACCAUAUGAAUAAGGAUCGGCUAACUCCGUGCCAGCAGCCGCGGUAAUACGGAGGAUCCGAGCGUUAUCCGGAUUUAUUGGGUUUAAAGGGAGCGUAGGUGGAUUGUUAAGUCAGUUGUGAAAGUUUGCGGCUCAACCGUAAAAUUGCAGUUGAAACUGGCAGUCUUGAGUACAGUAGAGGUGGGCGGAAUUCGUGGUGUAGCGGUGAAAUGCUUAGAUAUCACGAAGAACUCCGAUUGCGAAGGCAGUUCACUGGACUGCAACUGACACUGAGGCUCGAAAGUGUGGGUAUCAAACAGGAUUAGAUGCCCUAGUAGUU